GCAAGUCGAACGAGAAAAAUUUCUUCGGAGAAUGAGUACAGUGGCGCACGGGUGAGUAAGGCUUAGGUAACCUACCCUUUCGCUGGGGACAACAGGGGGAAACUCCUGCUAAUACCGAAUGACCCUGUCUUUUCUGCGGAUUAGAUAGGGAAAGACGUAAGUCGCGAAAGGAGGGGCCUGAGUACCAUUAGCUUGUUGGUGGGGUAAAAGCCUACCAAGGCUACGAUGGUUAGCUGGUCUGAGAGGAUGAUC
rnacentral:rRNA from 1 species